UUUGUACAAAUUAAAUAAUUUUAUUUUUAAAAAAUUGAUUUUAAAUUUAUUUACUGAUUUUUGUAUUGAUAAUGAUUUAAUUAUUUUAUUAAAAGUGUGAAUUUAUUUUAUAAAAUUUUAUAAGAAUAAUUUAUUUUUUAUUCCUUUUGUAUUAGGAUAAAUUUAAAUUUAAUAAUUUUAAUUUAUUAUUUAGAAAAUUGAUGAAAUAAAAUUUUAUUAUUGUUUAUAUUGAAUUAUAAAAUUAAAUUAAAUUUUAGAGAUGAUAUAUUAAUCGGAUUAAUUGAUAUUUAAUUAUUAAAUUAAUAAAUUUAAUUUAAUUAUAUAUUAUAUUAAUUUAUAAUAUUAUUAUUAAUUAAUUUAUAUAUAAUUAAAGUAAUUUAGAUAAUUUAAUUAUUAUUAUUUAUAAAAAUUAAUUUAAUUUAAAAUUAAAUUUUUAGGAUUAUAAAUUUAUAUAAAAUUUAUUUGUAAUAAUAAGUUUUAAUAAAAUAAUUAUUUUGAUUAAUUUAAUUUGUAAUUUUAAUUAUAGAUUUAAAUAUUAUAAUUCUAUUAAUAAUGAUUUAAUUAGUAAUUUUAAUAUUAAAAUGUUUUUUUUUAUUAAUUAAUUUUUAAAAAUUAAACAACUUUAUAUUUUCACUUAUUUAAUAAAAAUAUGGUUUAAAGAAUUUAAAAAUUUUAGAUUUAAUUUGUUCAAUGAUUUUAUUAAAUAAUUGUAGUAUUUUAUAACUAUAUUAAAGUAGCAUAAUCAUUUGUUUUUUAAUUGAAAACUGGAAUGAAAAAUUUAAUGAAAAAUAUGUUUUUUUAAAUUUAAAAAAUUAAAUUAAUUUAAUAAUAAAAAAGUUAUUAUUAACUUAAUAGACGAGAAGACCCUAUAGAAUUUUAUUUAAUAACUUUAAUUGUUAAAUAAUUAAUAUUAAAUUAUAUUGGGGUGAUAAUAAAAUUUAUUAGACUUUUAUUUUAUAAAAUAGUUUAUUAUUUAAUUAAAAGAAAUUGAGAUAUUUUAAGAAAAAUUACCUUAGGGAUAACAGCAUAAUUUUUAUUAAAAGAUUAAAUUGAUAUAAAAGAUUAUGACCUCGAUGUUGAAUUAUGAUUUUAUUUAGGUAAAAAUUUUUAAAUUAUAAAUCUGUUCGAUUUUUAAAAUCAUACUUGAUUUGAGUUAAAAUCGGUGUGAGCCAGAUUGGAUUUUAUCUUUAAAUUUUUAUAAAAUUAUUGUACGAAAGGAAUUAAUUUUAUUAAUAAUUAUAUAAUU
rnacentral:rRNA from 1 species